CCACAGUCCUCCAUUAAGGUGUCCUCAGAGCCCCAAGUCCACUGGAGGUCUCAGGAUGGAUAAAAGCCUUUCCCACAACCAGGGAGACUGCUGAUAUACUUACUAAAGUCCUGUUACAGAAAAUCAUCCCAAGAGCUACAAUCAAGGUGGAUCAGCCCACACCUGGUUUUCCUCAGAACUUCAAUGGACUGCCAUCCUGGUUCCACAUCACUCAAGCUAAGCAGUGCCAUCCUAACCCUAACUCCCCUGACCCUACACAUUCUGAGAGGUCGUCUCAUCUUCUAUCUCCCACCCAUCUCUGUCUCAAGGCCUCAAGCCACAACUCUCA
rnacentral:lncRNA from 1 species